rnacentral:rRNA from 1 species
AGAGUUUGAUCAUGGCUCAGAGCGAACGCUGGCGGCAGGCCUAAUACAUGCAAGUCGAACGGUCCUUCGGGACAGUGGCGGACGGGUGAGUAACACGUGGGAACGUGCCUUUAGGUCCGGGACAACCCAGGGAAACUUGGGCUAAUACCGGAUAAGCCCUUCGGGGGAAAGAUUUAUCGCCUUUAGAGCGGCCCGCGUCUGAUUAGCUUGUUGGUGGGGUAAUGGCCUACCAAGGCUACGAUCAGUAGCUGGUCUGAGAGGAUGAUCAGCCACACUGGGACUGAGACACGGCCCAGACUCCUACGGGAGGCAGCAGUAGGGAAUCUUGCGCAAUGGGCGAAAGCCUGACGCAGCCAUGCCGCGUGGAUGAUGAAGGUCUUAGGAUUGUAAAAUCCUUUCAGCGGGGACGAUAAUGACGGUACCCGCAGAAGAAGCCCCGGCUAACUUCGUGCCAGCAGCCGCGGUAAUACGAAGGGGGCUAGCGUUGCUCGGAUUUACUGGGCGUAAAGGGCGCGUAGGCGGACAGUUUAGUCAGAGGUGAAAGCCCAGGGCUCAACCUUGGAAUUGCCUUUGAUACUGGCUGUCUUGAGUACGGGAGAGGUGAGUGGAACUCCGAGUGUAGAGGUGAAAUUCGUAGAUAUUCGGAAGAACACCAGUGGCGAAGGCGACUCACUGGCCCGUUACUGACGCUGAGGCGCGAAAGCGUGGGGAGCAAACAGGAUUAGAUACCCUAGUAGUCC